rnacentral:lncRNA from 1 species
GAUUUGGAAUAGCAGGACCAGCACUUUCACACAUAAGAAUGAUUUGCAGGUGGUAUAUUUUGGGGUGGACCAAUUCUGAGCCCUUGAUCUGGACCUGGAUGGUAGCAGAGCUGUCAUAUGAAACCGGAAGCAGACCCUGAGCCCUACAUGAGACUGCAGUCCUGGCCAACAUAGUGACACCAUCUAGCAAGACAGAGACUAUGAGGUGAUGAAUACAUUAUCAACUGCUGUAUUUGUGGAAUGCUCUGGAACAGAGGG